GACUAAGGUUCGAUUCGAGCGAAAGCGAGAAAGCUUUGCCGCAGGCAACGACCCGAAGGGCGAAACGCGCAGCGCUGAGU
rnacentral:sRNA from 1 species